UGCUCCCUCCAAUAUUUUAUCUAAUUGAUUUGGUUUUAUCUCAAUUCCAAACUCUUCCAUGUCUUUUUUAUAUCUUGCCUUGAGUUGUAAAUAUGGCCACCACUCUAUUUUCAUCCCUUGCUCUCUAAUUUCUUGAUUCAUCAUUAAUCUUCCUUGGGAAUUUAGUACAUUAUAAUAUGUAAUUUUUCUUCCAGUUUCUAGUGCGUUGGGGUGGAUCAAUGCCUCUAUGACGGAAACCCAUCCUGGGAUCUUCAUAUAAUGUUUGUGUUUAAUUUCUUUCCACACCUUUAAUAGUGAACAUCUAAUUAUAUGCCUAUUAAAGUGUGUGUAGCUUUUAUUUCUUGGGUUCCACAUGAAGGCAUGCCACCCUGCUUCCAAAUCAUGCCCUUCUGGAAUUAAGAUUCUUUUAUUUCUCAAAUUGGCCCAAUCCUUAAUCCAUGUUAAAGUUGCCGCUUUAUAGUAUAGUUCCAAGGCGGGGAGCCCAAAUCCACCUCUGAAUCUAUUAUCUUGUAAGUAGCUUAAUUUUAUUCUAGGCUUUUUCCCUGACCAAAUAAAUUUCCUAGUAAUUUUAUUUAAUUUCUAAAAAAACUUUUUUUAUAGUUUUAA